rnacentral:rRNA from 1 species
AACGUAGGAGACAAACGUUAUCCGGAGUUACUGGGCGUAAAGGGCGUGCAGGUGGUCUGUUAAGCCUGGCGUGAAAGCUCUCGGCUAAACCGGGAGAGGUCGUUGGAUACUGGCGGACUAGAGGACGGUAGAGGCGUGUGGAAUUCCGGGUGUAGUGGUGAAAUGCGUAGAGAUCCGGAGGAACACCAGUGGCGAAGGCGACACGCUGGGCCGUACCUGACACUAAAACGCGACAGCAUGGGGAGCGAACGGG